GGUGGGGUUCCCGAGUGGCCAAAGGGAACAGACUGUAAAUCUGUCGGCUCAGCCUUCGAUGGUUCGAAUCCAUCUCCCACCA
rnacentral:tRNA from 1 species